GGGCUAGCUAAUAAUAUGAAGGCAUCUCGAUCGUCUUAGCCUCUCUGCCUGUGUUGCUUUCGAUCAGAUCAUUGAAUAGAGCAUAGAUACUUUCUUCCUUUGUCUCGCCUCUAGCCUACAACUGCAUGCAACGAGUAUAUGAGUGCAGCAUUAAUUGGGCAGCUCAAAGGACGAUCGAUCAAGACGACUGAACCAGUGACGACAGUGCAUCAUCGAUCAGCUUCUCAGGGCAUAUGUAGCGAACGGGUAAAAAAGAUCGAGACAAAAAAAGGUUUGGUUUGAGACGACGCGUACGUACAUAUGCGUACAUCUGGGCUCAUCUGGGCAUGCAUAGAGAGGCGUUGUAGCCGCGUUGUUUGCUGCGUACGCGGUGAGCGCAUUGAGCGGGGAGAAGGCUGUGUGGGCAGUCAACAGAUGCCUCAGCACGUCGCAGCUCACGUACAUCGAUCUACCAUGUACAGCCUAUCGAAUAAAUGGAAAAAGUCUACAUCACCCACUGAAUAUAAAACGGUCUAAUUUAUUCCCUGAAACUAUCCAAAACCGUUCAAAUCACCACUGAGCGGUUUUUUAUGAUGGUUUUGAUACAGUAACUAUAGUUUUGCUACAGUAACAGUGGUUUUGACUUGAACAUAAAAGGAUGGCUUGGUUCUGAAAGGCUGUACA
rnacentral:lncRNA from 1 species